rnacentral:tRNA from 1 species
GAAAAUUUAGUUAAAAAAUAACCUCAGCUUGUCAUGCUGGAAUUACCUUAUAGGUAAUUUUCU